rnacentral:rRNA from 1 species
UACGUAGGUGGCAAGCGUUAUCCGGAAUUAUUGGGCGUAAAGAGCGCGCAGGUGGUUGAUUAAGUCUGAUGUGAAAGCCCACGGCUUAACCGUGGAGGGUCAUUGGAAACUGGUCGACUUGAGUGCUGUAGGGGAGACUGGAAUUCCUGGUGUAGCGGUGAAAUGCGCAGAUAUCAGGAGGAACACCAAUGGCGAAGGCAGGUCUCUGGGCAGUUACUGACGCUGAGGCUCGAAAGCGUGGGGAGCAAACAGGAUUAGA